AGGGACGGUGUAUAUCGGGCCUAGGAAGGAUUGCAACCACGAGGGCUACACAAAUGCCCGAUGCAUUCCCUCUGAUUGUCACAACUGUACAAAACGCCUCGCCCCUCUUCGUCGUCGCAUUUAGAUUGAUCCACCAUAAUUGAUUACAUUUAUCUUUUACGGCAUUGAAAGGUGGAGAGUUAAUCAGUGUAUGACUUGCUGCGAGAAAUAUAAACGGUGAAAUAUUCGAACCCUUCAAAGAUAUUUCAUAUAUAUAGUAUACGGAAUAUGACGACGGCAAGUUUAUUAACGCAUGCAGCAAAUGUGCGCGAAGUAAUGACGUUUGCAGCUUCGCACGCGUAACAAUCGCUGCCUUGGGCAUUCGGCUGCCGUAUAGGAGAAGCCGAGAGCGUUAAUCGAAAUCAUAGCGAAACGACGCACGUAUUGCGCCAACAAUAGGUGAAUUUAGUCUGAUUAAAUGCGGGAGAUAAUUGCGGGAGAUACAGGCCGUCAUGGCGGCGCGGACCGGGAUCGAUGCGCCAGCAUCUCCUGAGACAUGAGGACAGAUUGGAGAGACAGAGAGAGAGAGAGAGAAGCGGGGGAUAAAAUUAUCGGGCUUUGAAACGAUUUUGCCUUUGGGCUGUCAGUUCGCCGAGUUAGCAGUGAUUAAAUGACGGCGGUGGAUCGACGUCCGCGUAAAAUCAGCAGAGCCAAUUGCGUCUGUCGUAAUGGCAGUUAAGACCCGUAAAUCGUUCGAAGUAAAGUCAUCAAUUAUCAUGCGACGACUAUCCCGAGGGAGAAUAGGCCGAAGCUGUCCGAGUUCAUCGUUCACUUGACUGCCGACGUGCAUAACGCUAUUACACUGCAAACUGCGUGCGUCCGUUCGCAAGCGAGGAUAUUGGACCAAUACGUUUACUCAUGUCGAACCUGAAGAUGUUUGACAUAUUGGCCAUGCCGACUAUUUAUGGCCUCCAAUUUUGCCUUGAGAGAUUUCAAAACCAUGACAACAAUCGAGCAAUAUAAAUUUAUACAGGUUGUCCAAUUGCUUUAAAAAAGAGCCUUGGAAAAUGGAUUUGGAAAGUUAAGUAUCUGUGAAUAUAAAUAAAUGAUGUUAUCAAUUAACUAA